GAGGGAACUCAAACUGUCUAGAUCUAGAUCUAGAACAUAUAGAUCUAACUAUAACUUAAACCUAAGAAAGUCUUGAUCUGAAGAUAUUAUCUGAUGACAAGGGUCUUCUACAUUUUACAGGCAAUGGACUUAAUUUCAUAUGUAUUGAGAUAGCUAAGGAUAAACAAAUACAAACCAUCAUGAUUCUUCAAAGAGAUAUAGUUUGAACAUCACUGAAGUCAUAGACUGGUCCUCAAGUCUACACAAUCAGGAGCUGAUUGGAACAAUCUGGAUAGAACAAAUAUAUUCAAGUGUUCAUGUCCAUUUCAAAUUCUUCUUGAUGUAUCUACAUCCUGUAUUGUUGGUCAAGCCACAAUGAUCAUUUAGCAAGCUUAUUCAAGAUUUGUUUUUGAAUACAUCACAAGCCAGACAGAAAUGGUUUAUGACAGGUAUUUUGUAAUAUCUAGGCUCAAUUCUUCAUAAUAUGCCAGACUCUACUGAAAAGUCACUUGUUUUUUAUCAAGGCUCAAUUCAUCCACACAUAACAGCCAUGUCUAAAAAAAAAAAGCUUUUUCUAGAAUCAAUGCUCAAUCAUUCAUCACAUACAAGGCAUAUUUCUCAUGUCAACUAUUGGGUCAAGGCUCAAUUGAUCUUUGCAAGACAGAGAUUUGAUUCAACAUGCUGAAUUUUCAAUGGGAGUAGAAGUUGAGAAUAGAGAAAUGUUUACCUUGUGUCUGAAAAAAAUUCACUACCAAUAGCUGAAAUAUUAUUUUGUUAGAUGUUACUGUUAAGUCUUUAUUUUCUUACAUACUUGUUCAAACCUAGCAGUGUUAGAACUCCGUUUAAAAAAAUAUAUAAUGUAAUGACAUGUCCAGUGAUUUUUUUGUAUAUAUUAUUUUGCAAGAAACAACAUGGCACUAUAUUUUCAUGUUAAUAGUCACAAAAGUUUGGAAUUUCUUUUAUAUUAAAAACUGACAGUCACCACUUAAGUGAAGACUUUGUAAACCAAAAAGUUGACUGUAGCGUCACUUAAAAAUAUAAUGUAAUGACAUGUCCAGUGAUUUUUUUGUAUAUAUUAUUUUGCAAGAAACAACAUGGCACUAUAUUUUCAUGUUAAUAGUCACAAAAGUUUGGAAUUUCUUUUAUAUUAAAAACUGACAGUCACCACUUAAGUGAAGACUUUGUAAACCAAAAAGUUGACUGUAGCGUCACUUAAAAAAUGAAGGAUUUCUGCUACACUUACAGGUCAAUGCAACUCUAGAAGUUAAGAAUCAUUAUUAUUAAUUUUUACUAUAACAUACAUUUUUACAGUCAGGGCAUUUAAUGUUAGGAAUUUUUAUGUAUUAAAACUUGAUUCACAGUAUAAAAUUUAUAUUUCUUUUCUUGAAGGUACUAUAGAAUUGCUUUUAUUAUAGAAAUAGACUUCACACUGUUUAAAAUUUCUUGUAUCAUAGAGGUUGACUUUACACAAUUAAUUUUUUUGUUUGUUUUAUAGAGGUUAACAUCACACAAGUUAAAUUUCUAUUUAGUAUAGAGGUUGACAUCACACAAUUUAAAAUUUCUUUUAUUAUAAAAAUUGACAUCACACAAAUUUAAAUUUCUUGUAUCAUAGAGGUUGACAUCACACAAUUUAAAAUUUCUUUUAUUAUAGAAAUUGACAUCACACAAUUUAAAUUUCUUGUAUCAUAGAAGUUGACAUCACACAAUUUAAAAUUUCUUUUAUUAUAGAAAUUGACAUCCCAUACUUUUACUUUUUUUUUUUUAUUGUCGAGAUUUUGGUUGAUAGCUACAGCACUAGAAGUUGUUUUUUUUUGUUCCAAAGUAGUUGACAUUUUCCACAAUAGAAUCUAGGAAAUUACUAUGCACUAACAUUUAUCACAGGCCAGACUAGGAUUCAGGAUUUUUUAACAGUUUAGACUGAGAAUGUAUAAGAUUUCUCACCCAUUAGACACAUUACUUCAAUCUGUUAUUGAGCAUAGUAUUCUUUAAAGUUAAUCCUCACACAUUUUGCUCAGGCAGCCUUGGAAAAUUCAUGCCUCAGUUGAAAAAAGUGAACAUUUUAGACAAAUAAUGCAUAAUUCUCAUGGCUUGGAUCAAAACAUAAUGCUUUGGAUAGAUUUGUCAAACUUUUCAAUGGCAUUAACUUCUAUUGCCUUCAUAAUAUCUCAAUGUCUACUUUGAAUCAGUGUAAUGUUUUUCACUUGUUUUUCAACUUGUACACAUUGCUACAGCUAUUUCAAAGUACCACGUUGUCUAGAUAGUUUCCAAGUGCUUGAAACAACUCAAUCUGUCGCAACUGUUUCAUGAUGUGAUUCUGGUUUUUGUACUUCCAUCUGUUCAGAACAAAUCUUUUUCAUUAUCUAAGAUAUCACUCUCCUCUGUUGUCAUAUUUAAUGAUUAUUUUACUUCUUUAUGUACACCCUUAACAUUGCAAAAUUGCUAGUGAAAGGUACAUUUCUCUUGACAUUAAUUGGAUCAGCACAUCUUAUUACAGAAUUAUUUCUGAACUGUGUGGUUUAACUAGUGCCAAGAAAUAAUGUAUCUCUCAUGAUUGAAGCAAUUUCUUUUGGCAAUCUUUUCAAUUAAAACAUCUUUUUCUAAUACUUCAAAAUUCUUGCGUAUAAAUCUUGAAAUGUGACUUUUUCUUGAAAUAUUGAAGAAUUUCAACUCCCUGUUCAGAAUGAUUACUCAAAUUUGGUUAUUAAAAACAAGCACCUCUUUGCCGCAAUAGGACAAAUCUUUGUUCCUGCAUCAUCAUGUCUGAAUUGUAAUAUUAAAAUUUAUCAAAUGUCAGUUGUCAGAAAAAGUGAUCCGAUUAGAAUAAAAUAUUGCAAACAAUUAAUGCUACCAUUUCUCAUGCAACUACCUAUAAAAUUCUAAAUUAUUUUUGCAAUUGCAAUUAAUAGUACUAUUAAUAUUUAAAAAUAUUAAAUCUCAUUGGUCUCAAAGAUUGACCUUGCUCACUUGCUUCUUAUAUGUGUGGUUUUUUUUUUUUUCUAACCAUUUCAUCAUUCUUAUUAUUUAUACCAUGAAUGAUCACAUCUUACUUAUAAUUCCGUUGACUUGGGGUCAAGUCCACCCUUGACAUUGCAAAAUUGCUAGUGAAAGGUACAUUUUUCUUGACAUUAAUUGGAUCAGCACAACUUAUUGCAGAAUUGUUUCUGAACUGUGGGGUUUAAUUAGUGCCAAGAACUAAUGUAUCUCUCAUGAUUGAAGCAAUUUCUUUUGACAAUCUUUUCAAUUAAAUCAUCUUUUUCUAAUGCUACAAAAUUCUUGCAUAAUGAUCUUGAAAUGUGACUUUUUCUUGAAAUAUUGGAGAAUUACCACUCCCUGUUCAGAAUGAUCACUCAAAUUUGGUUAUUAAAAACAAGCACCUUUUUGCAAUUUUUUGUACCUGCAUCAUCAUGUCUGAAUUGUAAUAUUUGAAAAACAUCAAUUGACACAAAAAAUGAUCUCAUUUAAAAUAAAAUAUUGCAUUCAAUUAAAAUAUCCCUCAAAUCCUUUGAGAUUUGAUCUUAGUCUACACUUUUCCAUGCAAUUUAAGUGUAUGUUAAGAGCUAAUGCAUAUGUUAUUAUGACCAUGAUUUCAUCAGUGUUACACUUCAUUAAUUAAAAAUGACAAAAACCUUAAAAAUAUUUCUCUGGGAAACUAUUCCAACCAAGAAAUUUAGUAGCAAUGGUGAAAAAAGUUUGGGGUUCGGUUUAGGGUGGAAUUAAAUCUGUUACUCAGCAGGUGAUGUCAAUUAUUUUUGUCACUAUUUAGGUCUGUAUGACACAUAAAAGUGAUAUCAACUACUGUGUUACUAUUUAGGUCUUUAUUAUGACAUACAAUUCAUUUCAACUACUUUGUCACUAUGUAGGUCUGUGCUAUGACUCAAGCAGGUGAUGUCAACUACUUUGUCACUAUGUAGGUCUGUGCUAUGACUCAAGCAGGUGAUGUCAACUACUUUGUCACUGUGUAGGUCUGUACUAUGACUCAAACAGGUGAUGUCAACAGUUCUAUGUCAUUCUUUAGGUCUGUGACACAAACAGUUGAUAUCAGCUCUUCUAUAGCCUGACACUAGGUAACAUAAGUCUGUGUUCAAAUAAAUCCAAUUUAAUAAAACAAGAGAUAUCAAACAUUUCAUGACAUAUAGGAUAUAUAGUUAGUGUCCUGAGUAUGACGUUAAACUGCUCCUCUUUGUUCGUUACUUUUGGAGCUCAAAAGUUUCUCUUUUUCUUUCCUUUCACCAGUCUGUCUCAUCUUCUCUAGUGUCUGUCUACUUAAUCAACAAUCUGUCUUCCUUUCUUAUAUUUUUACAUUAUCCAUUUUUUUGACAUGUAAAUAGAGUUGAGGACAUUUUUUUCACAUGUAAAUAGAGUUGAGGACAUUUUUUGACAUGUAAAUAGAGUUGACAUUUUUUUGACAUGUAAAUAGAGUUGACAUUUUUUUGACAUGUAAAUAGAGUUGACAUUUUUUUGACAUGUAAAUAGAGUUGAUGACAUUUUUUUUUUGUAGAGUUGAUGACAUUUUUUUGACAUGUAAAUAGAGUUGAGGACAUUUUUUUUGACAUGUAAAUAGAGUUGAGGACAUUUUUUUGACAUGUAAAUAGAGUUGACAUUUUUUUGACAUGUAAAUAGAGUUGAGGACAUUUUUUGACAUGUAAAUAGAGUUGAUGACAUUUUUUGACAUGUAAAUAGAGUUGAGGAUAUUUUUUUUUUUUUUUUUUUGUAAAUAGAGUUGAUGGCAUUUUUUGACAUGUAAAUAGAGUUGACAUUUUUUUGACAUGUAAAUAGAGUUGAUGACAGUUUUGUGACAUGUAAAUAGAGUUGAUGACAGUUUUGUGACAUGUAAAUAGAGUUGAUGACAGUUUUGUGACAUGUAAAUAGAGUUGAUGACAGUUUUGUGACAUGUAAAUAGAGUUGAGGAUAAAUGUGUGUGUAUAUUUUUUGUAUUCCUCUUCUUAUUGCUAUUUCUCUUUCAAGCUUGGACUUUGCUCAAUGAAACCAAAUAUUUUUUUAAGCAUUGUAGUUUAGCCCAUUCAUCUAUUUCAUGUUUUUAAAAAGUAAACCAAAUUGGUUAUGCCCUAUAUGGACUACAUCUGUACUGGUUGUAGGUUAGGUUUCCUUUUGUGCUAGUUCAAAAGAGUAGACUUAAAUGGUGUAGGGAAAGUUCCUGUGGCUGAACCUAUAAUAAGUGGUGUGGCCACAAUACUACUUAUGUAGAGGAAUUCUAGGGACUUGAUUGUACUGUUGAGGAUUUAGUUUACACAGUAGUCAACACAGUCUGUGCAGGAUUGUAGAGAUAAAUCUUUCAAUUUGUCCCAUGAUUUUGUACGAUAUUACAUUGAGUUUACCUGUACUGUUUUUAUAUUAAGUUUACUUGUACUGUAUCUACUUAUUCCCAAAGUAGGAUCAUUGUCAAGGAAGUAGACAUCACCACAAAAAGAAACACCACCACACUCAGAAUAAAAACAUAAACACACACUGCAUCACCAGCUUUCUCUGCCUCACUUAAAGUAAGCAUAACAUACAAAGACCAGGGGAUUUUUUUUUUUACUUUCUAUAAAUUAGAAUAGCACCAAGUGUUCUGUAAUCAGAAAAUCAACAUACUGCUGUCGACUUUUUUUUUUUUGUCUUUUAAGUUGGUGCAAUGUCUAUUGUACUUUAACAUUUUGUUUUAUUUUUCUUUCAAUUAAUCUUACAUCUUUAUUUUUUGUUAUCUAUUCUCUCAAUCUGAAUAACAAGUAGCCUUUGAUUUCACCCAUGUAUUCAAUCAUUCUCAAAACCUAACCCUAACACUUUUGUAUUAAAUGCUACAUCUUGAACAUAUAUUAUUUAAAAAAAAAACAACAAAGAUUUAAUAAUAAAAUAUAAUACCUUAUAUCUACUUUCAAACAAUUACUUUAGAGAGUUCCCAUAUUUGACAAAACUCGUGUUGCUCAUUUGGACUGUCUCUUUGCUUCUUUCUCAAUCCUCUUGAUGAAAUGUCCUCUUACCUUAUAGUUUUCAUUAUAUGACUUAUUCAUCUUUUUCUUUCCUUUGUCUUUAGAUUCUAUUCCUAUUGUUCUAUCUCAUUGUUAGAUUGAGCAAGCAAUAACACAUUUCUCUAAACCUGUCUAUAUAGUUUAUUUUGAAUUUAUUCCUUGAAGCUUCUUUUAAACAUGUAUCUUAGGUUUAAGUUCCUUAGUUUUAACAUAUUCUUUGUUGUUUAGUCCAUUCUGAACCAAAACACUUUGUCAUUCAGUCCAUUCUGAACCAAAACACUUUGUCAUUCAGUCCACUCUGAACCAAAACACUUUGUCAUUCAGUCCAUUCUGAACCAAAACACUUUGUCAUUCAGUCCAUUCUGAACCAAAACACUUUGUCAUUCAGUCCAUUCUGAACCAAAACACUUUGUCAUUCAGUCCAUUCUGAACCAAAACAUUUUGUCAUUCAGUCCAUUCUGAACCAAAAAACAUGGUCGUUCAGUCCAUUCUGAACCAAAAUGCUUUGUUGUUCAGUCCAUUGUGACAAGAGGGACAAUAAGGGUGGCUACGUUUAUUUUUUUUUAUUAGAGUUAGUCCCCUUUAUUACUUGAUUUAAGUUCCUGUCAACUGUUUACAAUUGCCACUCUCUCUUGAGUCUUUCAACUGACCAGUGUAGCCUGAACUAAAUCUAUAUAAUGUUUGACUAAUACUUGUGUUGUACUAUUGUUGUGUUACCAUGUGUAAAUGGUAUAGGUCUACUUAGUCUCUUAUUCUCUUUUGUAUGUCUUUUUUUGAAAGACAUCUUUUGUUUAGAUACGAGACAGUAGUGUGUCUCAUGAAUGACGUCAUUUCAUUGUUGAUGCAUAUAUGAUAUUAUUGUAAACUAAUGUAAACCCUCGCUUUGGUUUUUGACAUAAAAUGUCUCAUGAAUGACGUCAUUUCAUUGUUAAUGCAUGUAUGAUAUUAUUGUAAACCAUCUUUUUGUUUUUUCGGCAUAAGACAUUAUUGUGCCUCUAUGAUGGUGGUCCUUUCAUUAUAUUGACCGGAAACUGUCUUGCUACUUUGCUUUGUUUCAUUAUGUCAUUUUCUUUUGUGAGCCUUUAUUGCCAUUUAUAUUUUUCAUGAUCUUUUUCUUUUGUUUGUAAAUAAACUCCUUUUUUUUUUGUUGCAACUGAAAUCUCAGAAUUAUUAAUUGUUUGUCUCGGUAGUUUUAUACAUCUAGAGGCUAUAGUUAUUAGCCUAGAUAAUAUAAUUGGGACCACAAAGUACCGCUGGACUAACUUGCCGGUGCAGUACAGGUCACUGGUCUUAUGACCUAUCCUAUUUCUAGGUCACAUGGGGGCUCGUGAACAGGGUGAAAUAGUUUGUUUUCGUAAAGACCAGUGCGUCUACCCUUGAACCCUACUAAGAUAUUACAAGGACAGUAUAGUUUUUUUUUCAUUGUAGUAAUUUUUGAUUGUAUACUGUCAAAUUUUGAAUUGUGAUUUCAUUAUUUUUUGUACUUUUUACAUUUUUCUUUAAAACAAAGUGAACUUCUGGACCUAUACGAGACAGGAAAGAAAUUAGGUUACCAGAAGGAAGAACUUGAAGAAUGGGUUGCCAGAGCUAUCCGGCAAAACGAAGAAAGGGACGCAAGAGCAGAGGAGAGAAGAGAAGUUCCGAAUGCAGGAAGAAGAAACACAGUUUAAAAAAAAAAAAUAAAGGUAGCCACCCUUAUUGUUCCUCUUGUCACACCUCCCCCCUUAAAAAUGCUCUUUUGGGGAAAUUAUAUGAUGCACAAGGCAUUCAACUUGUUUACAAAGAAUACAGUUUUUCAAAACCCAAAAAUUACAUCAGCUUAAUAUUAUCAUCCUUUGUCUAUACAACACUUCUAAUCCAAAGGAGAGGAAAAAGUCUGAGUAACAUUAUUUACAAUACAAAAGUCUCAGUAAACUGGUUGUCUUCUAUUGUAUUAUGUUAUCUACACUCUUGACAGAGCGUCAGCAACUACAUUCUCUUUCCCUUUUGCAUGUACAAUAUUUAGAUCAAACGGUUGGAGAGUCAAACUCCAUCUAAGGAUCCAUUGAUUCUUCCCCCUCAUUUGGUUAAUGAAAGUUAGGGGGUUAUGAUCUGUGUAUACUGUUACAGGAUACAAAUUACUAUUUAUAUAGUAGCUGAAAUGAAGAACUGUCAAAACAAGACCCAGUGCUUCCUUUUCUACCACGCUAUAAUGCAUCUGAUGCGACUUAAAUUUUUGGGAAAAGAAUGAUAUUGGGUGUUCAUUGCCAGCUUCAUCGGUUUGGGUCAAGACCGCACCCACCCCAGAGUCACAUGCAUCAACAUGCAAAAUGAGAGGUUUAGAAUGGUCAAUUGCUUUUAAAACUGGGACUGUACUAAGAACACAUUUCAGCUCAUUCAAAAGCUCUUUGAGCAGAAGUGUUCCACUGAAAUUUCCUUUUCCCUUUUAGGAGGUCAGUUAAUGGGACAGCUAUAACUGAAUAAUUACAACAAAGCUUACGAUAGUAUCCUGUCAUACCUAAAAACCUUCUGACUUCCUUUAAAGAUUUAAGUACAGGGUACUCGUGAAUGGCUUCCACUUUAGCCUGAAUAGGUUUAACUUUCCCAUUACCCACAAUGUAGCCUAAAUAUUGUAUUUCUGCUCUACAGAAAUCACAUUUGUUAAGAUUAAUAGUAAGAUUAGAGUUCUUCUGCUUUUGAAAUAAAGUCCUUAGACAAGCCAGAUGAGCAUCAAAGUCAUCAUGGUAUAUGACUAAAUCAUCUGAACCCCCCAAAAAAUCUUUGUCGUUCAGUCCAUUCUGAACCAAAAAUACUUUGUCUAUCAGUAAAUUCUGAAUUUAAAAAAACUUUGUCAUUCAGUCCAUUCUGAACCAAAAUGCUUUGUUGUUCAGUCCAUUCUGAACCAAAAAAAUGGUCAUUCAGUCCAUUCUGAACCAAAAAAUCUUUGUCGUUCAGUCCAUUUUGAACCCAAAAAAAAUCUUUCUCGUUCAGUCCAUUUUGAACAAAAAAUUUUUUUUGUUUAGUUCUAAACCAAAAUAAUUCUUUAUCAUUCAGUCCAUUCUGAACCAAACAACUUUGUAAAAAACUUUGUUGUUCAGUCCAAUCUGAAACAAAAUCGUUCAGUCCAUUCUGAACCAAAAAUUUUUGUCAUUUUGGUUUAUAUAUAAUACAUUGGUAUCUUCUCAACCUUUUUUUUUUCUUUUAAUUUUUUUUUCUUGAUAGCCUAAUAUUCUGCUAGUCAAAUAGUACAUAAUUUUCAUUGUAUCCAAAUUUUCUUCAUCUUUCUUUUGUCACAUCUUUAGCUCUUUGUAGUGAGAAAAGUUGUUUUCUUACUUCUCUGUUAAAGAUUUUUUUUUCAAACUAUUCCCUUAGUGUAUUCCUCUCAGAGUGUAUUGAUUUCUUCUUUUGGUGAACAAGUUCCUUCACUUUGUACCUUGGGAAUGAAAUCUAAUUUUAGAACCUGGUCUUCUCUCUGUUAUGCUUACUUUUUUUUAUUAAUCUUUCACACCACAAAAACAUUAAUACAGUAGAAACACAUUCUAUAGAAUGUAUAACGUCAGACAACUCGUUUUAUUUUAUAUAUUUAUUUUAUAUACUGGUAACUAAAAAUUGUUGAAGCUGAGCAUUCUCAACUUUAGUACUUCAAAAUAUCUGAACAUCAUUUUAGGGCACACUUUGUUUUGUAUAGUCCAAUGUGUACUAUCCUUGUUGAAAUACCAAGAGACAUUUU